rnacentral:lncRNA from 1 species
UUAAUAAGAAAGGAAGGCACCUCCUACCCAUACACAGUCUCCCCCUUGAUGGGAGGCUAUAGUGAUAAUAAAGAAGGAGGACAUCAUUAGUCCCAUAUUGAUUAAGUCAAGAAGACUCUGGCUUAUAUAGGAAAUGACCAUCCUUCCUAUGUGAGGCAUCUUUUCGACUAGAAUCUAGAGGGACAAAACUAUGACAUGCAUGGGUC